rnacentral:rRNA from 1 species
AUUGAACGCUGGCGGCAUGCUUUACACAUGCAAGUCGAACGGUAACAGACCGCAAGGUGCUGACGAGUGGCGAACGGGUGAGUAAUGCAUCGGAACGUGCCCAGUCGUGGGGGAUAACGCAGCGAAAGCUGUGCUACUACCGCAUACGAUCUGUGGAUGAAAGCGGGGGACCGUAAGGCCUCGCGCGAUUGGAGCGGCCGAUGUCAGAUUAGGUAGUUGGUGGGGUAAAGGCCUACCAAGCCGACGAUCUGUAGCGGGUCUGAGAGGACGACCAGCCACACUGGGACUGACACGGCCCAGACUCCUACGGGAGGCAGCAGUGGGGAAUUUUGGACAAUGGGCGCAAGCCUGAUCCAGCAAUGCCGCGUGCAGGAAGAAGGCCUUCGGGUUGUAAACUGCUUUUGUACGGAACGAAACGGUCUGGGUUAAUACCCUGGGCUAAUGACGGUACCGUAAGAAUAAGCACCGGCUAACUACGUGCCAGCCGCCGCCGUAAAAC